rnacentral:lncRNA from 1 species
AUUCAUAAAACCGAGGCCGAGAGGAAGAGGGAGGCGGCCUCCGACCCGCCGCCAGCGGCGGGCAGCGCCCGGACUUUGUGAAUGGAGCGCGCGGCGCCUUUCGCCGUCUACCCGCGGGCCCAGCCUGCGCCGCGCCUCCAGCCCGACACCGGCACCUGUGCCGCCGCUGCACCCCGCCGCUAGGCGGGCGGCGCCAAAGGAAAUAGCCGGCUGAGGAGGCCAGGGCUCGGGUUUGAGCUUUCAUCCCUUGGCACCUUCGCGCUUCCCCGCGUGACAGCCCCGUAGGUUUUUCCCGGUUACCCAAGUGGAGAGGGGACCGGAGCGCUGCUGCCCACCCAGCGGGGCCUGACACCUCCUAGCCCCAGACUCCCCGUGCGCUUUCGGCCCGGCCAGUCCUUUCUGAAUAUGCGAUUCCUGAGACGUUAGCGUAUGCAUUAGCGUGAUCGAUUUUCAUCUAAAGCCAUUAAAUCAGUUUUAUAGCUUCCCCAAGAACGUGGGCAACCCCCUGCUUGGAAGAUGAAAGAGAAAGUCCUCCCGCCCGAAGCCCAGGAUCGGAGUGAGGUGUGGGGUUUGUUGCUUUACUACCCAAAGGGAGGCAUUAAUUGCCGGAAUGGUGUUCCGAGGGAGGAGAGCAGGCUGCGCUCCUGUCCACGCUUCCUAAAAGAUGUUUAUUUAACCCUGGUCGGGGGAAAAACAAGGUUUUCGGGUUUGGGAAACGUCUUCACCCUAUCUUGCAUAGUUGUGAAUUAUCCUUUCAGGAAAUGACAGGGUCCACAUUUGUUGCGGAGCUGGACCCUGGAAAAUGUACCCGCAAAGAAUGACCUUUUGAAAGGACUUCAGCAGCUCUGG